UUCGCAAUGCCCGAAAGGGUGACGAAGCGACGCCGCGUGGGUGAGGAAGGCCUUCGGGUUGUAAAGCCCUGUCAGGAGUUAAGAAAUGUAGGUGCGCUAAUAUCGCAUUUACUUGACGAAGGCUCCAAAGGAAGUCACGGCUAACUCUGUGCCAGCAGCCGCGGUAAUACAGAGGUGGCAAGCGUUGUUCGGAAUUAUUGGGCGUAAAGAGCACGUAGGUGGGUUUGUAAGUCAGAUGUGAAAGCCUUCUGUUCAACGGGAGAAUUGCAUCUGAAACUACAGACCUUGAGUAUAGGAGGGGAGAAUGGAACUUCUGGUGGAGCGGUGAAAUGCGUAGAUAUCAGAAGGAACGCCGGCGGCGAAAGCGAUUCUCUGGCCUAUUACUGACACUCAGUGUGCGAAAGCUAGGGGAGCAAACGGGAUUAGAUACCCCGGUAGUCCUAGCCGUAAACGAUGGGCACUAAGUAGAGGGGUUUU
rnacentral:rRNA from 1 species